rnacentral:piRNA from 1 species
UGUGCUGUUUCUUCCAAAGAAGACAUUGGA